GCAGGCGCACAGCAGGGCUAGGGCGAGGUCGGAGGCGGCAAAGGGGUGAAGGCGGAGGAGGUAGUGCCUGGGAACAGGCAACCUGUGUCUGGCGCGGUGCCCUGCAGCUGGUGGCGGGUGGGGCCGGCGGGCGGGCUACCGCUUUCCCGUGUCGACGGAGGCUGCUGACGGGAAAACGAUCCGGGAGGGAGCGCCUCGGCCCAGGUCCCUUCCCCUGAAAACCUGCGAGAUUUCAGGGCCGAGUAAGCCAAGCAGAAGAUCUGGGCAGUGUUAACAAACGGACGUUGGGAUUCGCAGAGAUCAGCCUUCGAGGCCUCUGUCUGCCCGCCACCGGCUCUGUGACGUCUGGCGUGUCACAGCCUGGCCUCAGUUUCCCCACCCUUCUAGAGGGCUUGCGGCUUGCGAGUGGCCCCGAAGAAAAGAGUUAACGUCACAAAUACUACCGGCCUAGUAGCAAGAUGCAGGUCCCCCAGGGAAAGUGCAGGAGUGGGAGCCUUACCAUGUGCUACAGUGCUCGUGACAGUCUGCUUGGCAGUCACUUACCGAGAAGAAUGAAUGGCUGGCUACUGUAUAAACCCUCCCCCAUAUCUGUUCAGGUAGUUCUCCGUUAUCAUGAAUCAGGUUCAACUGAAGAGGCUGUUCUAAGAAAGACAACUGAGAUCAUCAGUCACCCCCUCAGAGAAAGUCCACUGAGGUAGAGUUUUGUUUACCAUGUAAACAACGCAACAUUUAUUGUUGAAUCCCUUAUUCUUUUACAGUCAGACUAGAGAAAUGCAAUUUUUUUUUUUUGGUGGGGGCGUGAGGGUCAAAGAAGGGGUCAUGGUCGAGAAGAUGGGUCCUGGGAAGAUGGACCUGUAAGCCAUAGAAUCCCCUCGGGGAAGAUUCAGGAAGGCAAAGACUGUCCUUUCAACUCAAAUGUCAAAUGCGUUUCCACUUAUCUUACCAAGCAAGACGACAAACAGGAUUUUCCCAGAGUGCCUGGCGAUGCUUAGGUGACAGGAGUGACUGAGGGGCAGGCCUGGAGACAGAUCCUUGGCUGCCCCAUGUAUCCAAACCUCCCCAUGUAUCCAAACCCCCAGAAAAUGCCUGGAAGAGAGCGGAAGGGGAGGAUUGAAGAUAAUCCUUAACUUUUCUAAAGCAGGGAUAUAUUACACUCAAUAAACUUUAAAUAUUUGCCCCUCUUGUGAGUUAGGGUGACUGUUUGCAUUGAAGAGGAAGAAAAUAAUCUUUAGAGCUCAUUUUUCUAAGAUCAUGGAAAACAAACAAAUAAAACCCAGAAUCCAUUGCUUUGGGUGAAAAAACAGUGAUAGUAACUCUAAGUAUGCUCAAUGACUCCAAAAUUGUCAUUUAUAGUAUCUAUUAUAUAUUUUAAAAAAACUAAAUUGAAAAAAUAGAUUCCAAAGGUAAGAAGAUUGAGGGUUGGGGGCUAGAGGGAUGGACAGGUAGAGCACAGAGGACUUGUAGGACAGUGAACCUAUUCUGUUUGCUGCUCUAACAGUGGAUCCACGUCAUUAUACAUUUGUCAAAAGCUACAGAAUGUACAACGCCAAGAGUGAAUCCUAACGUAAACUACUGUCUUUAGUUAAUAAGGACGUAUCUAGAUUAGUUUAUCAAUUGUAGUAGCUACACCACAGUAAUACAGAAGUUAAUAACGGGAACUGGCGGGUGAGGUGGGGAAAAGGGGGCAUACGGAACUCAGUUCUUUCUGCUCAGUGUUUCCUGUAAAAAAUAAAACCUAUUUCAAAAAAUGGAUCCCACACCUGGAAUUUGUUGGCCAGCCUGAAAUGAAACUCAAGGGUCCAGGUCCCUGUAUCUCACAGGUUUGUUUCUGUAGCAAGCCCAUGUCGUCAGUGUGUCAGUGGGAAGAGCUGCGUCCUAGGAUCUGGAGCUGAAGCCCUGACAGUCCAGAGUGUUCACAGGACAGUGAGCUGGGGUGAGUCAGCCAACCAGCCUGGGUCUCUGCUCCCUCUCUUUUUUUUUUUUUUUUUUUUGAGAAAGAGAUUACUGGCUACUUCACAGGGUGAAUGUGAGGAUCAAAUGGCUGUAAGAACGUGGCCCGUCAACUGGAAAGCACUAUGCACAAGUAUAGGUCAGUGUCAGCGGCCUAAGGUCACAAAGCUGGUCUGCGGCCCACGAUGCCGACCCCAGGUGUGGCGCCUGACUGCCACGUAAGUUAGUUCUCCCCCUCCCGGGGUGAGGGUUUCGAUUUUAGAGGCACAGAUUUCUCUUUUGCCGAUGGAGCCACGGGAAGGGUGCCCACGCUGCUCGCAAGUGCAGGCGUCAGCGUGGUCUGCUGCUCUUGUCUCGGACGACAUCACCCAGACAGGCCCCAUUAUAUAAUCUUCAGCUGGGAUGGAAUGACCACUCACCCUUCCAGACUCAGUUAAUAGCUGUCCUUGGACGAUACAGUGUAACAGAGACGCCCCGCCAGGGAGAGAACCGCACCCAUUUCUGAUGAAAUCCCUAGGCAGAGUCAGCUGCAGAGUCACUGCUUCAUGUCACUCUGGGCCCUCAGGUGAAGUGAUGCUGGGCUCCCACUGGGGCCACGAGAAAGCAGCGCUCCCUACUUGGAGAGGUGCAGCUGGUUCCUGGGCCCCUGAGGUGGUGGGAGGAAGAAGCCUGAGGUCACAGAGGAGGGGAGAAAGGUGGGGGAUGGCCUGUGCUGGAACAGGGCAGGGCGGGCCGGGCGGAGAUUCCUGAUGAAGAGCCCUCAGGCGAACUCGGCUUCU